CAGACCUGCUGCUCAUUCAGACCCUCCUCUUCCUCACAGUCAUGUUGUUGUGGGAGGUCUUAAGGAACAAAGAAAUACACGAAAAAAAGAGUACCCAUAGGAAAUCAUCCGCCUCCAUGAGACCUUGUCUCCAGCAUCCUCCUCUUACACACCAACUCUCUUGAUUUCCUCUUUCACUACAUCCAUGAACUCUGUGGUCUUUCCUUCUCUCUCUCUCUGCCUUCUAACAAACAUCUCUAGCUGCUGUUCAUGUGUAGUGAAUAUAGGCUGUCAGAUCAUGGUUUACCUCAUAAUGUUGGUGGUGAAGCUUCUACAACGGGGGUCUUAAACUUACAUGAACUGCGGGCCACUGUUGACA